rnacentral:rRNA from 1 species
ACUCCUACGGGAGGCAGCAGUAGGGAAUUUUCCGCAAUGGACGAAAGUCUGACGGAGCAAUGCCGCGUGAGUGAUGAAGGUUUUCGAAUCGUAAAGCUCUGUUGUAAGGGAAGAAUAGCAAGAAUAGGAAAUGAUUCUUGUCUGACGGUACCUUACCAGAAAGCCACGGCUAACUACGUGCCAGCAGCCGCGGUAAUACGUAGGUGGCAAGCGUUAUCCGGAAUUAUUGGGCGUAAAGCGCAUGUAGGCGGCUUUUUAAGUCUGGUGUGAAAUCCCGGGGCUCACCCCGCAGUAGCUGAUACUGGAAAGCUAGAGUACCGGAGAGGAGGGUGGAAUUCCUGGUGUAGCGGUGAAAUGCGUAGAUAUCAGGAGGAACACCGGUGGCGAAGGCGGCCCUCUGGACGGAUACUGACGCUGAGACGCGAAAGCGUGGGGAGCAAACAGGAUUAGAUACCCUGGUAGGCUCUG